rnacentral:rRNA from 1 species
UACAGAGGGGGCAAGCGUUGUUCGGAAUUACUGGGCGUAAAGGGCUCGUAGGCGGCCAACUAAGUCGGAUGUGAAAUCCCCAAGCUUAACUUGGGAACUGCAUCCGAUACUGGAUGGCUUGAAUCCGGGAGAGGGAUGCAGAAUUCCAGGUGUAGCGGUGAAAUGCGUAGAUAUCUGGAGGAAUACCGGUGGCGAAGGCGGCAUCCUGGACCGGCAUUGACGCUGAUGAGCGAAAGCUAGGGGAGCAAACGGG